AUUGAACGCUGGCGGCAUGCUUUACACAUGCAAGUCGAACGGUAACAGGGUGCUUGCACCGCUGACGAGUGGCGAACGGGUGAGUAAUGCGUCGGAACGUGCCGAGUAGUGGGGGAUAACGCAUCGAAAGUUGUGCUAAUACCGCAUACGUACUGAGGUAGAAAGUGGGGGACCUUCGGGCCUCACGCUAUUCGAGCGGCCGGCGUCUGAUUAGCUAGUAGGUGGGGUAAAGGCGCACCUAGGCGACGAGCAGUAGCGGGUCUGAGGGGAUGAGCCGCCACACCAGGACUGAGAAACGGCCCAGACUCCUACGGGAGGCAGGAAUGGGGAAUGUUGGACAAUGGGCGAGAGUCUGAUCCAGCCCUGCCGCGUGUCUUAAGAAGGCAUUCGGGUUGUAAAGGACUUUUGUCGGGGAGGAAAUCCCCAGCGUUAAUACCGCUGGGGGAUGACAGUACCUGAAGAAUAAGCACCGGCUAACUACGUGCCAGCCGCCGCGGUAAGAC
rnacentral:rRNA from 1 species